GGCUUUUUGAUAUUUUUUUAUAAAAAGUCUGACCUGCCCAGUGACUAAGGUUAAACGGCCGCGGUACCCUGACCGUGAAAAUGUAGCAUAAUCAUUUGCCUCUUAAAUGGGGGCUGGUAUGAAUGGUUUGACGAGAACUAAGCUGUCUCUUUUAAAAUAUUAAAAAAUUAACUUUUAAGUGAAGAGGCUUAAAUUUUAUUAAGGGACAAGAAGACCCUGUUGAGCUUUAGUGAUUUUUAGGGCUUAUUAUCUCCUAAAAAAAUCUUUAGUUGGGGCGACUCAGGAAUAAGUAAAACUUCCUGUAACUAGUUUGGAGACAUUCAUGUUUUGAUCCAGUAUUACUGAUUAAAGGAAAAAGUUACCAUAGGGAUAACAGCGUAAUCUUCUUGGAGAGUUCGUAUCGAAAAGUGGGUUUGCGACCUCGAUGUUGGACUAAGAUAUCCUAAGGGUGUAGAAGUUCUUAAGGGUUGGUCUGUUCGACCAUUAAAAUCUU
rnacentral:rRNA from 1 species